UAUAAAACAAUGAAUUAAUUGUCAAUAAUUGAUUAUUUAAUUGGUUGUUUUUUUUUAUUAUUAAUUCAUGUGUUAUCUUUGACAAUGAAAAAUUUUGCGAAAUUUCAUCUUGAUCAGAGAAUGGGAGAAAAAAAUGUGUAGAAGUAUCCUCCCAUGCAAAUUGAGUUGAUAAAGGCUUUGUAAAAAAAAAAAAAAAAAAAGUUUCACAGGUACCUUUAAAAGAAGCAUAUAUAAUUUUUUGUUCCUUUUUUCCAGUAUAAAGCAUAUAGGAUUUUUUUUUUUACAUUUAUCUAAACAGUAGCAACUGAAUCACUAAAGUAGUAAACUUUCUAGCCAAUCCACUUCUGGCUUCUUGCACAGCUUAGCUUAAAGUGUUGAUAUGUUAGAGACUCUUUGCAACAAGCAUACACAAAAGUUGGAACUCCAAAAAUUUCAACAAAAACAUUUAAAGGAUUUGACUUUUGUCAAAUGUUCCAGAAUUUAACUAGUUUCAAAUGAUCCAAACUCCAAAGACAAAUUGAAGACAUUUUAUUGAGCAUUCCGUCCAAGAACUAUUUCAAGAUGAACUCCUAUUUAUGAAAUGUAACAUAUUUCAAACAUUCACUUCACACUUCAUUUGUUUUUCUUGUCCAUACUUUUCUUUAGAGUAUGACUAACUUACAAAGAGGUAGUACCAAGCCUUUUAGUGCUGACUAUGAUGCAAGGUGAAACUCAGGUUUAACUGUACACAGGCACAAGUUUAUAGUGGUCAUCAUAAGAAUUAACAUGUACAGAAAUGAAGAUUUAUCUCAAGUACAAUAAUAAAAAUUUUACAUUUGGAACAGAUUAGUUAACAUAUAUUGUGCUUUUCAUAGUCUUAGAAAAUGAUAAAUAAAAUAACAGAAUUAAUAAAAACAAAAAUAAGAAUUAAAUGUGAAAACUGUAUAUGACCAUUUCAUAUUGAUCAAUUCGUAAUAAUGAAUAUUAGUACAUCAAAACAAAGCAUUUAUUUUAUUGCAAAAUGUCUUUUUAUAUAAAAAAAGAAAUUAAUAAAUAAAUGAGUAAUUUAUGUUCAUCAAUAAUAUAAACACAGUCAUUUUAAUUCGUAACAAAAGUAUUAAACAUUUUAACACAUCAUUCACAUUUAGACUAAAAUAUAUUAUAUGUAUAAAAAAUAUAUAUAAAGAACAUGUUUACAACUUAGUAUAUAUACAUACAUUUUUUUUAUAUCUUGAAACGAUGUAGUUAUAAUACAAGAUGAAAAACAUGUUUUUUCGAUGAAAAACUCUCUUGUUUAUCUUAAUAGUUUGUUUUUUUGUUUUAACUAAAUUUUUCAUUUGAGAUCCAGCAGUCAGUGUCAGUACAUGAAGUAAAGAGAGGUUUCUAAGACAAUUAAUGAAUUUCAUGUGUCUAUCAUAACAAAUGAUUAAUUGAUUUUAUUCCCCCCCCCCCCCC